GACGAAGGGGGCUAGCGUUGUUCGGAAUUACUGGGCGUAAAGCGCGUGUAGGCGGUUGCCCCAGUCGGGGGUGAAAGCCUUGAGCUCAACUCAAGAAAUGCACUCGGUACUGGGUGACUAGAGGACCGGAGAGGAUAGUGGAAUUCCCAGUGUAGUGGUGAAAUACGUAGAGAUUGGGAAGAACACCAGUGGCGAAGGCGGCUAUCUGGACGGUUUCUGACGCUAAGACGCGAAAGCGUGGGGAGCAAACAGG
rnacentral:rRNA from 1 species